rnacentral:rRNA from 1 species
AUUGAACGCUUGCGGCAGGCCUAACACAUGCAAGUCGAGCGGAGCGGCGGACGGGUGAGUCAUGCCUAGGCAUCUGCCUGGUCGUGGGGGAUAACGUCCUGAAACGGGCGCUAAUACCGCAUACUAUCAGAUUAUCCUAGGUCGGAUUAGCUCGUUGGUGGGGUAAAGGCCUACCAAGGCGACGCUCCGUAACUGGUCUGAGAGGAUGAUCAGUCAAACUGGAACUGAGACACGGUCCAGAAUCCAACGGAAGGCAGCAGUGGGGAGUAUUGGAAGAUGGGCGAGAGCCUGAUCCAGCCAUGCCGCGUGUGUGAAGAAGGUCUUCGGAUUGUAAAGCACUUUAAGUUGGGAGGCGUUACCAACAGAAUAAGCACCGGCUAACUACGUGCCAGACGCCGCGGUAAUAC